CUGGGUCUGUGUCGAGUGGUGGCACUGCCAGCCCUGCAGGUGAAGUGGAAAGGGCCUUUCCAGGUCUGGCUGAUCACAUUUAUAGCAGUUGACAUUGCAGAACAAGGACCUGGGGUCUGUUAUUCUUGAGUUAAGAAAGCUCCUUUUAAUUGGUGAGCAGAACCAAGUGGAUCCUUCAGAGUUCCCAUCCGUGUUUGUGUCUCAGCCUGUGUUAUGAUUCAGGGCUGUCAGUUGUUGUCACUGAGGAGUGAAACUAUGCUUUAAAUAAGGAGACACUGGCCUGAUGGCCCAGUGUCAAGAAAAAAUGGGGAAUGAUAUGUGAGUGUUGAGAUGUAACAAGAACUAAUCCUUUUUGCAGUGGGAUGUAGCCUGGAAACUGCACAGAGCUGAGCCAAGGGAUUUAAAGGGACCAACCAACGGAAGGUGAAAAAACAAGGAAGGAGUAACUGAGACAGCAGCCAAGUAUCAGCAAGUUCCUGUUUAAGCAGAAACUCUGGAUCCUGGCCAUUCUCAAAACACAACACCAGGACAACAUGACCUGGGAAGCAAAUGGACCUUGCACAGGGGAGGAGUUGUUUCCUUGAGUGCCCUGCCUGUCAGCAAAACACCAGGCCCAAGGGAUCCUGGCAAGUGCAGCCCUGGAAGAGUCAGGAAGACUCAAAAAUGCCCCAGUUCUCAUCCAGCUCAACUGUGUAAAACAUUUAUGAAGCUAAAAUUCCCCAGCCUUGAGCUGUUGGGUCCCAAAGAAUAGUGGAGGGAGAGGCAGAAACUCCCCCUGCUGCUGGGGCUGUGUGCCAGUGAGGGGGCAGGACUUGGCCCUGAUGCCUGAGUGCUCUCCAGCCCCCAGGAUGGAUCCCAACUGUCAGCCCCUGGCUCCAUCCCUUGAGAAGAUGGUGUUCCUGCCAGCCCAGCUGCUGUGCUGGUGGUCCUGGGGGCACCUCCUGCCCUGGCCUGCUGGGAAGGUGUUUGUGCUGCAGCUCAAUAAAGUCCCUUUCAGUUGUGA